rnacentral:rRNA from 1 species
ACGUAGGGACCAAGCGUUGUUCGGAUUUACUGGGCGUAAAGGGCGCGUAGGCGGCGUGGUAAGUCACUUGUGAAAUCUCUGAGCUUAACUCAGAACGGCCAAGUGAUACUGCUGUGCUAGAGUGCAGAAGGGGCAAUCGGAAUUCUUGGUGUAGCGGUGAAAUGCGUAGAUAUCAAGAGGAACACCUGAGGUGAAGACGGGUUGCUGGGCUGACACUGACGCUGAGGCGCGAAAGCCAGGGGAGCAAACGGG